AUCUUUAACGGCCGCGGUACUCUGACCGUGCAAAGGUAGCAUAAUCAUUUGCCCCGUAAUUGGGGGCUAGUAUGAAUGGUUUGACAAGAGCAAAUCUGUCUCUAUACAAUUUUAUAGAAUUUAAUCUUCAGCUGAAGAAGCCUGAAUCUAAUUAAAAGACAAGAAGACCCUAUCGAGCUUAAAAUAAAUUAUAGGGCGUAGGAUAUAUUGUAUAAAUAAAUUUCCUAUAAGAAUUUUGGUUGGGGCGACUAAGGAACAGAUAAAGCUUCUUCUUUUUAGAAAGUAGGCAUACAAUGAUCCAGAAAUUCUGAUUAAAGGAAUUAGUUACCGUAGGGAUAACAGCAUAAUCUUUUUUAAGAGUUCUUAUCGAAAAAAAGGCUUGUGACCUCGAUGUUGGACCAGAAUAUCCUAAAGAUGCAACCGUCUUUAAGGGUUGGUCUGUUCGACCAUUAAAAUUCU
rnacentral:rRNA from 1 species